GCUAGGGAGCGAAUGGGAUUAGAUACCCCAGUAGUUCCUAGCUGUAAACGAUGGAUACUAGGUGCGGCUUGUAUCGACCCAAGCCGUGCCGUAGCUAACGCGUUAAGUAUCCCGCCUGGGGAGUACGCGCGCAAGCGUGAAACUCAAAGGAAUUGACGGGGGCCCGCACAAGCGGUGGAGUAUGUGGUUUAAUUCGAUGCAACGCGAAGAACCUUACCAGGGCUUGACAUGUCGCGAACCCUCUUGAAAGGGAGGGGUGCCUUCGGGAGCGCGAGCACAGGUGGUGCAUGGCUGUCGUCAGCUCGUGUCGUGAGAUGUUGGGUUAAGUCCCGCAACGAGCGCAACCCACGUUUUUAGUUGCCAGCAUUAAGUUGGGCACUCUAGAGAGACUGCCGGUGACAAACCGGAGGAAGGUGUGGACGACGUCAAGUCAGCAUGCCCCUUACGUUCUGGGCUACACACGUACUACAAUGGUUGGGACAGAGGGCAGCGAGCCUGCGAAGGUAAGCUAAUCCCAUAAACCCAGCCCCAGUUCAGAUUGCAGGCUGCAACUCGCCUGCAUGAAGGAGGAAUCGCUAGUAAUCGCAGGUCAGCAUACUGCGGUGAAUACGUUCCCGGGCCUUGUACACACCGCCCGUCA
rnacentral:rRNA from 1 species